AUUGAACGCUGGCGGCAUGCUUUACACAUGCAAGUCGAACGGCAGCGCGGGCUUCGGCCUGGCGGCGAGUGGCGAACGGGUGAGUAAUACAUCGGAACGUGCCCAGUAGUGGGGGAUAGCUCGGCGAAAGCCGGAUUAAUACCGCAUACGACCUGAGGGUGAAAGCGGGGGAUCUUCGGACCUCGCGCUAUUGGAGCGGCCGAUGGCAGAUUAGCUAGUUGGUGGGGUAAAGGCCUACCAAGGCGACGAUCUGUAGCUGGUCUGAGAGGACGACCAGCCACACUGGGACUGAGACACGGCCCAGACUCCUACGGGAGGCAGCAGUGGGGAAUUUUGGACAAUGGGCGAAAGCCUGAUCCAGCCAUGCCGCGUGUGUGAUGAAGGCCUUCGGGUUGUAAAGCACUUUUGGCGGGAACGAAAAGGACUGUGCCAAUACCACGGUUCGAUGACGGUACCCGCAGAAUAAGCACCGGCUAACUACGUG
rnacentral:rRNA from 1 species